rnacentral:rRNA from 1 species
GAUGAACGCUGGCGGCGUGCCUAAUACAUGCAAGUCGAGCGAACGGACGAGAAGCUUGCUUUUCUGAUGUUAGCGGCGGACGGGUGAGUAACACGUGGAUAACCUACCUAUAAGACUGGGAUAACUUCGGGAAACCGGAGCUAAUACCGGAUAAUAUUUUGAACCGCAUGGUUCAAAAGUGAAAGACGGUCUUGCUGUCACUUAUAGAUGGAUCCGCGCUGCAUUGGCUAGUUGGUAAGGUAACGGCUUACCAAGGCAACGAUGCAUAGCCGACCUGAGAGGGUGAUCGGCCACACUGGAACUGGGACACGGUCCAGACUCCUACGGGAGGCAGCAGUAGGGAAUCUUCCGCAAUGGGCGAAAGCCUGACGGAGCAACGCCGCGUGAGUGAUGAAGGUCUUCGGAUCGUAAAACUCUGUUAUUAGGGAAGAACAUAUGUGUAAGUAACUGUGCACAUCUUGACGGUACCUAAUCAGAAAGCCACGGCUAACUACGUG